GAUGAACGCUGGCGGCGUGCCUAAUACAUGCAAGUCGAGCGAACGGACGAGAAGCUUGCUUCUCUGAUGUUAGCGGCGGACGGGUGAGUAACACGUGGAUAACCUACCUAUAAGACUGGGGUAACUUCGGGAAACCGUAGCUAAUACCGGAUAAUAUUUUGAACCGCAUGGUUCAAAAGUGAAAGACGGUCUUGCUGUCACUUAUAGAUGGAUCCGCGCUGCAUUAGCUAGUUGGUAAGGUAACGGCUUACCAAGGCAACGAUGCAUAGCCGACCUGAGAGGGUGAUCGGCCACACUGGAACUGAGACACGGUCCAGACUCCUACGGGAGGCAGCAGUAGGGAAUCUUCCGUAAUGGGCGAAAGCCUGACGGAGCAACGCCGCGUGAGUGAUGAAGGUCUUCGGAUCGUAAAACUCUGUUAUUAGGGAAGAACAUAUGUGUAAGUAACUGUGCACAUCUUGACGGUACCUAAUCAGAAAGCCACGGCUAACUACGUG
rnacentral:rRNA from 1 species